rnacentral:tRNA from 3 species
CGGGCCAUAGCGCAGCUUGGUAGCGCACUUGACUGGGGGUCAAGGGGUCGCGAGUUCAAAUCUCGCUGGCCCGA